GGCGGUCAUGGCGGAAGGGAAACGCCCGGUUACAUUCCGAACCCGGAAGCUAAGCCUUCCAGCGCCGAUGGUACUGCACUC
rnacentral:rRNA from 1 species